GGUGUGACAAACAAGGUGUGAUUCUCCAUCCUCUCAGAGAAAGCAGUUUGAAUCCUUCUUCAGGUGAAUCUGUGUUUCUUCAUUGGCGCCCACCGUAUAUAUGUUAUACAUUUGUUGAUCACGUCUCGUUCUAUCAUCAGAUCUUCAGAUCUGUGUUCUUAGAUUCACACUCUCGAUCUUCGAAUUGAGAAACCCCAUAAAUAUUUUCAUUCAAACUCUUACAGAGUUGACAACUGUUGGAUCUUUGUUUACACACGAUUCUCAAUAAAAAAACUCCAGAUCUGGGGUUUCAUUUAAGUUUUAUGUGGGUUUUCUUAUCUACAAUCUUAGAUAUGUGCUGACCCAAGCUUUAAGCAUGGAUUUCAAUCAAAAACCUCCAUAGCUUACCGAUAACGAACCGCAUCUUGCUACUUUUCUCUACCUGGCAUUCUAGAUCUGUUUUUCUCACAAGAUCCAUACACGAGUUCUGUCUAAAAAUACCGUUCAGGAUCAACGAGCUGCAGAUCUAAGGUGGCACAACGCAUAACUUCUGGAUCUUUUCUUCGUGGGGCUACAAGCCUUGACUAAUACGGUUUUUGUCAAAAUCUAGGUACGGCAAAAUUUUCUGAAAUGUCUUUUCGUUUUUUCCUUAAACAAAAGGAGAGAAAGAAAAACAAAUUUCCGAAGUCUUUUACAUCACCUCUGAAAAUCCCACAUGCUCUAAAUUUAAUAUUUAUUAAUUUAAUAUUUGUUGACUAUGAAGAGCUCACGGGAUAUGUGAUUAUAACUUUGAAUUUGGUCUUGGGAAAAGGGAGAUCUUUCAGCUUUGUUAUUUUAAAUUAUUCUUAAAUAUUAAAUAACGGAGGUUACAAUAGCUGUCAUCUGUCCUUUUUAAAGAAACAUAUAGAGCUGUAAAGAGUAAGUAAAGCUGCCAACUAUGUGGUCCCAAACUGCCGUUAAAUAAAGGUCUCCGCCCUUAUCGUUUUUCAUUUUCAAAGACAUGGCUAUUUUUAAAGCCAUUAGUGACCACAACUCAUAAGCGCAUGCUGAAGGAAGUCUCGUGCUCGUCGUGUCAGUCCGCCGCCGCGGAUGAACUCUGUCACGCGAGCACUCUUUACUCCUGGACACGCUUCGCGCGCGCAAGUCCACCUGUUGCGUUCGGAUUUGGAACACCGGCAGCAGAAACCAACUGAACUACGUUGACAUUGCGAGCCAUGUGUGUAAUCUUGAAUGAUGGAGCACGAAUAUGAAUGAAUUGGUUAGCACUCAUGGGUACCUCAAAAUCAAAUUAUGGUUUAGAAAUAUCCAACAUUGUCUAAGGAUGCGACUGGGACUAGACACACCAAUAGAGUACUGUAUCUAGCAACGUCACCCGAUGGUCAGGUAAUAGUGAUGGGCACAUGGAUGAAACAUUAGGAUUUGGAAUGUUUUCCCAUCUGUGAAAUGUCUUGUAUGUAUUAUUUUCAUUAUAAAGGUGGAAAAUUUCCUAUUCAA